UGAGGAAUAUUGGUCAAUGGGCGGCAGCCUGAACCAGCCAUCCCGCGUGAAGGAAGAAUGCGCUAUGCGUUGUAAACUUCUUUUUCAGGGGGAUAAAAUUCUGUAUGUAUACAGGACUGAAGGUACCCUGAGAAUAAGCAUCGGCUAACUCCGUGCCAGCAGCCGCGGUAAUACGGAGGAUGCGAGCGUUAUCCGGAUUUAUUGGGUUUAAAGGGUGCGUAGGCGAAAUAAUAAGUCAGUGGUGAAACCCUGCAGCUUAACUGUAGACUUGCCAUUGAUACUGUUUUUCUUGAGUAUGGUCAAGGCAGGCGGAAUGUGUAAUGUAGCGGUGAAAUGCUUAGAUAUUACACAGAACACCGAUAGCGAAGGCAGCUUGCUGGGCCGUUACUGACGCUGAUGCACGAAAGCGUGGGGAUCGAACAG
rnacentral:rRNA from 1 species